CGCCGUGACACGGGGUGUCCGCGACGCGCGGACUGAGAGCACACCCGUCGAACCUGAUCGAGCUCGAACUCGCGAAGGGAUGUCCCUCAUGACGCAC
rnacentral:ncRNA from 1 species